AGCGAACGCUGGCGGCUGGCUUAACACAUGCAAGUCGAGCGGUCAUCCUUGUGGUGUCAGCGGCAGACGGGUGAGGAACGCGUGGGAACGUGCCCUUCGGUUCGGAAUAACUCAGGGAAACUUGAGCUAAUACCGGAUACGUGCGAGAGCAGAAAGGUUUAUCUGCCGAAGGAUCGGCCCGCGUCUGAUUAGCUAGUUGGUGAGGUUACGGCUCACCAAGGCGAAGCUCAGUAGCUGGUUUGAGAGGAUGAUCCGCCACACUGGGACUGAGACACGGCCCAGACUCCUACGGGAGGCAGAAGUGGGGAAUAUUGGACAAUGGGGGCAACCCUGAUCCAGCCAUGCCGCGUGAGUGAUGACGGCCUUAGGGUUGUAAAGCUCUUUUCUCCGGGACGCUAAUGACGGUACCGGAGGAAUAAGCCCCGGCUAACUUCGUG
rnacentral:rRNA from 1 species